UCUGCAGGUCUGUGCUUACAAGUGAAGCUGCAGCGAUGUUUGCCAUUUAAACAUAAGCUGGAGAUUUACAUUGCAGAAGGAACCCAUUCCACUGAAGAAGAUAUUAACAAGCAGAUCAACGAUAAGGAGCGAGUGGCGGCCGCCAUGGAAAACCCCAACCUGAGGGAGAUGGUGGAGCAGUGUGUCACCGAACCGGACGACUGACUGACUGACGGAGGGAGGGAGGGAGCGCCACCUCCCUGAAGGAAACACCUCGGAGCCGCAGUGUGUGUGUGUGUAUGUGUGUGUGUGUGUGAGUGUGUGUUGACACUCCGAUCAUUCCCUGCUGGACGGCGUCGCGGUGAACAGCAGCAGGUCUUUGUUGUCGUCUGGAUCGGACGCUGCAGAGGAAAUGGGCCAGAGAUUUUAGAAGUCUGUCCUUUUGUUAAUCACUCAGAUUCAAGUCUGAGUAGAAAGUGUGAAUCUUUUAGAGGUGAUUAUUUUCAAUAAAAAAAAGAUGUGAUGUACAAAAGAAUCCGUUAUUAAAAGCUAGGUCAACGAGAA